rnacentral:rRNA from 1 species
AUGGCGGCUUCUCAACCCAACAAACCAACAAUGAAGGAGGAUGGCGAAGAUGAGAUGGCGGGAUGGUGGGAGAAGGCUGUGAAGAAGCUGAGAGAGGAGGAUGCAGCCGCACUAAAGAAGAAGAAGAAGGAAGAGGAGCUCGAAGAGAAGAGGAAGGAAAGAGAGAGAGUAGAUUAUGAGUGUUGCGCUAGGGAGCAUGCGUUGAAGAGAAAAUGUGAGGAGGCACAGAAGAAGCGUCUCAAGGAUUUUCAAGAAAGAACCUUGAAACUUUGGGCAUUCGAAGUAGAAAAAAAAGAGAACAAGAUAUUCAUGGAGAGGGUGGUUAAGGAGGUUCACUGCAUAAGGAAAAGGAAGGAGGAAGAGGAAGAAUAA